rnacentral:snoRNA from 1 species
UGUGCACAUUGUUAGAGCUUGGAGUUGAGGUCACAAACUGGCCAAUCAACUCACAAGUGUAGGUAGUACGCCACAUGAGUAGCAAGUUUUCGCUAACACUCUACUCUGGCCUGGAAAGUAGAGUUUGAUAGUAACAUUUGCUACAAGU